GUUUAUCAAACGUUAGUCCAAAAAAGGUGUACAAAGUGCGUAAAAAUAAAGUGUAUCUAGGAUGACAUUUUUAUAUAAAAUUAAAGUGACCAUGCAACAGCAUAUGUAUAGUACUUAAAGUGACAGUGCCUAUAUAUAAUAGAUGCUCUGAAUAGAAGUCUUUACAAGAAUACAAAAGUUCAAGCAUAUACCAAGUGAAGAAUCUAGCACCAGCAACGAUUAAAAAAAAUAUAAAAACAUAUAUAUUGGUUAAAAACAAAAUAAAAUAGUUCACAUAAAAGAGACAUCAUCAUAUUACAGUGACAUUGCAUUAAGCUCUUAUCCUUUGUAGUUUGCAAGGACAGAAAAAAUGAAUUAAACAAAGGGGUUAUCCAGAUUCCUUACUUAAACACAGGGCCGGAUUAACCGGAUUUAAAUAGGCCCGUAGAUUUAAAAUAAAAAAAUAUAUAUAUAUUUUUUUUACACACUACUCUUAGGGUUUCCACCUGGCUGGUAUUUUACUGACAGUAUUUGAGGCUGCAUGGCCGGUGCCGAUAUUGCAGUCACACUAGCAAUGCAAAUGCUGGUAUUUUUCUCAGUAUAAACAGAGAUUACGAUGCAAUACCAGCGCUGGCCAGUAGGGGUCGCUGUGUGUGUGGAGAGAGAGAGGAUAGGAAGUUCCAGCAUAUCCCUCCCUAGCUAUCUCUACUCACUGAUCCGCAGGGGAGCAGCUACAGAGUGCAACUCCCGCCCUGCAGGCACAUCGUACAGCUCAGGGAAGUGAGGGAUGGGGGAAAAGGCUGCAAGGAGGCAUGGGGUCACUGGGAAAUAUGGGGACACUGAGAGACAGUGUCCCCAUGUAUUCAAGUGUCCCCUAGUAUCCCAGUGUCCCCAUGUCUUCGUGUCCCCUAGUAUCCAUGUGUCCCAGCCAGUGUCCUUGGUGUCUCACGGUCCCCAUGUCUCCCAGUGUCCCCAAGUGUCUCGGUGUCCCCAUGUCUCCCAGUGUGCCCAUGUCUCCCAGUGCCCCAAGUGUCUAAAUAUCCCCAUGUCUCCCAGCCAGUGUUUCAAGUGUCUGUGUUCCUUGUGUCUGUGUCCUAUGUCUUCAAGUGUCCCCUAUUUUCCCAGUGUCUCCAUGUGUCCCAGCCAGUGUCCCCUAGUCUUCCAGUGUCACUGGUGUCUGUGUCCCCAAGUGUCUCAAUGUCCCCAUUUUUAUCAGUGUCCCCAGGUCUCCCAGUGUCCCCUGUCUCAGUGUCCCCAUGUCUCUCAGUGUUCCUAGUGACAUGGGUACACAUAUAUUAGGGGACACUGGGAGACAUGUGGACAUAGACACUAGGAGACACUGAGAGACAUGGGCAUACUAGGGGAGACAUGGGGACACUGGGCGAUAUGGUGACACGAGAACACUGCGAGACAUGGAACAUUGAGACACUGUGACACAUAGGGUCACUGGGAGACCUGGGGACACAACACUAGGGGACACAUGGAGACAUGGGGCACUGAGACACUGUUAUACAUAGGGACAUUGAGACCUGGGGUAAUCAACACAUGGGGACACUGAGUCAUGAGGGCACUGAGAGACUAGGAGACACUGUCCGACAUGGGAACACUGAGACAGUGGGAGACUUGAGACACUGGGAGUAAUCCAUCUAUACAGCAGAAGCAAAGUGUAAGUAGUUUUUGGUGAUUUUACAGGAUUUUCUCUUAUGUCACUCCUUGUGAUUUACAUCAUGUGAUGUCACCCAUACAUAAUUAAUUAUGCAAAUUAGUAAGGCCAGUAUGUUUUUCCAAUUCUUUGGGCGUUUGCCCCUUUUGGCAGGUUACGUGAUUUGCGUCAGUGGCACACCAUUUUAGCGUGCCCAUUGACUUCCUGCUUCACUUGACACUGCUGUUAGGGGUUAUGGAUUAGCAUAGGGUAUGUGGUUAUUUAUGUUGGGGAAAGCACUAAAAAAAAAAAAGAAAUAAUGGUUCUCCAAACAUAAAUCAGUGAUUAGAACUGGUUUGAUUAAUGAUCAUUUUGCUGAAAUGAAAACAUAACAUUACACAGUUAUGUGAGGCUUUCUGGAUUAGGGAAUUGGAUUCCCUUUAUCCGAAGGGCCUAAUUACAAAUCUGAUGUUGUAUCUUUAAUUUCGUCUAAGGCAAAGGAAAGGUUUUUUUUACUGUAAGAACAAUCGGGAUGUGGAAUUCUCUGCCUGAAGAAGUGGUUUUAUCAGAGUCCAUACAGAUGUUCAAACAGCUACUAGAUGCAUACUUGCAAAAACAGAAUAUUCAAGGAUAUAAUCUUUCAAUGUAGGGUAAUAACUGCUUGAUCCAAGGAUAAAUCUGACUGCCAUUCUGGGGUCAAGAAGGAAUUUUUUUUCCUAGGCUGAACUUGAUGGACGCAAGUCUCUUGUCAGCUUUGUAACUAUGUAAUGUGAACUUUUUUGUUUAAUCAAUAUAUAUGUAUUUAUCCUUUUUUAGGUUAGUUAUCAUUUGCUGUUGGUGCUAUAUUCUUCACUUGUUGAAUGCCUGAUGUUUGUGUUCUUGUAAAGACGUCUAUCUAGGACAUAUAUAUAGGCUCUGUUACUUUAGGUACUAUAUUUUAAGAGCCUCUGUAGGUAGUAUAACCAUUUCAUCUCAUUGAAUUAGUUACAGUGUCUGGAGUUUCCAGGUACUGUUAAUCAAUUUACUGUUAAACCAUUUUUUAAAGGCAGAGAUUACACAAUUCCUUCUGUGUAUUCCCAUUUAUACCAGCAAUGGGCACUUUGAUAGGCUGAAUGCAGUAUGCUGACACUAUCAGCCAAUCCCAGCCACUCGUCAUUAGCCAAAGCUGCACAGUGGCAUUGAGCUGUAGGGAACUCUUGGUUAGCAUUAAAUUAUUAACAACUUUUUAAUGCAGAAUGGAAGGACAGCAUCAGGAGACUGCACACACUAUAAGAUUUUCAAUGAAAUUAAGCCAAUAUAAUGCCCAUUUAACCCCUUCAAUAUUACUACUGAAUCUAAACAUUUUCAUGUAUUUUGUAGUAUGAAAUCUAGUCCAUAAAUCAUCACUCACCCUCAUUUUUAUUCUAGUUAUAAUUAACAAACUAUAGAGGAAAGGAUGUCUCUUCCAGAUUACACUAGUCACUUAUGUAAUGAGUGAUGAAAAUGUAAGCUCACUGCUUCCAAACAGUACAGGAACUUACACUGGAUGAUACCAUUCCUACAGCCACUAAGGGAGUAAGAAUGAAUGGACUAUACCAUUUCACUAUUAGCAUACUAGAGCUUAAUAAAGUUUUCUAUAUCCGUUUUAAACACCUUAUUUAUGUGUGGGCAUUAUGAUCAAAUGUCUACGUUCUUUUUAUAUUUGUUGCCAUUUUAGCAAUCUGUACUGCUACUAAUGCCUUCAAGAUCCUUACAAAUACAUAUAAGCUAGGUAUGUGACCAUUUUUAUUUGCAUAAUUUUUAAGUUUGCCUGCAAAGCAAUCUAUACACAACAUUGCUGUGUUGUGAUAUUCGCAUUUGCUAGUUAUGCAUAUUGCAUCAAAUAAAUGUUAUGCUAAUAUUUUUUCAAACUCAAAAAGUGCUCGGCCGUGAAGGGGUUAAGCUGCUUCACAGUCUCUUUAAUUUUAUAUAUCUUGUAAAUGUCAAGAUAGAUGCACUUUUUGUAAAUUUUUGACUUGAUUCAUUUUGUUAUCUUAUGGUUGCACUUUUUUAAGCACUGGCACACUUAAUAAAUGACAGUUUCAAUUUAUAAACUUUUUGGGAUUAACAUUUGAUACACUUUUGUGAUAGUCCUAAUAUAUUAUUUCUCCAAUUAAAUAAUAAUAAUAUUAACGGUCUAUAUUCUCUUUAUUAUGUAUAUCACGUUAUUAACCCCUUAAGGCGUCCUUGGGUACCCGACUCUAAACGCCGGAAGGCGGCAUAGAAUGCCCAAGCCGUCCUAUGUAAUUACCCGGUCACCGGCGAUCCCACACUGGCGAUCGCAGUGUGGGGACUCACCUGGGAGCCCAGGGAGUCCCUCUCCGGCCCCCCUGGGCCAUGUGAUCGCGAGGACCUUCAUGAUCACAUGGGCGGCAUAGCCGUCCAAGGCAGUGCCAGCAGGGGGAGUGCCUGUAACGACAGGUACUCCCCCUGCUGCCUGAAAAUAGUAAAAUAUAUGUUAAAG
rnacentral:lncRNA from 1 species